AUUCAUCUUCGGGGUCGGGUGAAAGUCCCAACCGGCAGUAAUUUAAGCCUGCGACCUGCUAUUUCGAUUGAAGUAGUGGCUGAUCUAGUGUGAAUCUAGAGCCGACAGUAUAGUCUGGAUGGGAGAAGAUGGAG
rnacentral:ncRNA from 2 species